GACGAACGCUGGCGGCGUGCUUAACACAUGCAAGUCGAACGGAAAGGCCCUGCUUUUGUGGGGUGCUCGAGUGGCGAACGGGUGAGUAACACGUGAGUAACCUGCCCUUGACUUUGGGAUAACUUCAGGAAACUGGGGCUAAUACCGGAUAGGAGCUCCUGCUGCAUGGUGGGGGUUGGAAAGUUUCGGCGGUUGGGGAUGGACUCGCGGCUUAUCAGCUUGUUGGUGGGGUAGUGGCUUACCAAGGCUUUGACGGGUAGCCGGCCUGAGAGGGUGACCGGCAAUGUGGGUGCCGGGCGACGGCACAGAGAGGUAGGGGGGCGAGAGUGGGAGUGUGUUGCAGGACGGGCGCCUGCGGGAGGCAGCGGCGCGGCUGGGGGCACGAGGGCCGGAGGCUUGUUACACGCGUGCCGCGGGGGGGAUGACGGAGGGAGGGUAGUGGGGCAGGACGCCCCGGCAAAAUACGGGCGAGCAGCGGAGGGAAUAGAAAGAAACCACACCUCUCAUC
rnacentral:rRNA from 1 species